GCCGUUAUGGCGCAGUGGUUAACGCGCAGCACUUGUAAUGCUGAGAUCCCUAGUUCGACUCUGGGUAGCGGCA
rnacentral:tRNA from 1 species